GCGGUGCCUCCGGGCUACCGUCGCACAUGUGUAAACCCCAAAGGCGUAGACAACUCGAACAAGUCUAAGGGAUUACGGGUUCGGCAUUGGCGCAAGCCUUCGUCGGGCCCCUCCAUCCCGGGGUGUCCCGCGUCGGGCUGUGUGCGCUCCUCACGGGGCGUGCGCUUCCCGAGUGGGCAUCCCUCGAGUGCGUAGGAUGCGACCCGAAAGAUGGUGAACUAUGCCUGAUCAGGCCGAAGUCAGGGGAAACCCUGAUGGAGGGCCGAAGCAAUUCUGACGUGCAAAUCGAUUGUCAGAGUUGGGCAUAGGGGCGAAAGACCAAUC
rnacentral:rRNA from 1 species